GCUCUUGUUGCUUUGGGCAUCCCUGUGCCUGAAUUCCUGCAGUACACUCGGUGUGCAUUCCAUGGUGCAUUCUCACCUAGAAUUGAGUGGAAGCAAGUCCAUCUCAGAAGGGACAUAACUGAAGAGGGAUGGCUUCCCAGACUCUGAUGGGCAGAGAGAGCACCAGCCUGGCCCUGUGUAAAACAUGAAGCGUGGACGGCCUGGUGAGCACAGCUCUGCCCUCAAGACCUGUUUCAACUCCUCUCUUCCCGGAAAACAGCAUCUCUAAGCCCGUCCUUGGUGACCUCACAGAGAUCACCCAAGUGGCCCAGGCUAGUGACCGGGAACAUGUACCUUCCUGCAGGCAACCCCUGACGUCCACUGAUGCAUCAU